rnacentral:rRNA from 1 species
UACGGAAGGUGCAAGCGUUAAUCGGAAUCACUGGGCGUAAAGCGCUCGUAGGUGGCUUUGUAAGUCAGGUGUGAAAGCCCACGGCUCAACCGUGGAAUUGCACUUGAUACUGCAUUGCUUGAGUUCGGGAGAGGGUAGUGGAAUUCCAGGUGUAGGAGUGAAAUCCGUAGAGAUCUGGAGGAACACCAGUGGCGAAGGCGACUACCUGGACCGAUACUGACACUGAGGAGCGAAAGCGUGGGGAGCAAACAGG